rnacentral:rRNA from 1 species
GGCCCAAACUCCUACGGGAGGCUGCAGUAGGGAAUCUUCCACAAUGGGCGAAAGCCUGAUGGAGCAACGCCGCGUGUGUGAUGAAGGCUUUCGGGUCGUAAAGCACUGUUGUAUGGGAAGAAAAGUUAAGGUAGGGAAUGACCUUAGCCUGACGGUACCAUACCAGAAAGGGACGGCUAAAUACGUGCCAGCAGCCGCGGUAAUACGUAUGUCCCGAGCGUUAUCCGGAUUUAUUGGGCGUAAAGCGAGCGCAGACGGUUGGUUAAGUCUGAUGUGAAAGCCCGGAGCUCAACUCCGGAAAGGCAUUGGAAACUGGUUAACUUGAGUGCAGUAGAGGUAAGUGGAACUCCAUGUGUAGCGGUGGAAUGCGUAGAUAUAUGGAAGAACACCAGCGGCGAAGGCGGCUUACUGGACUGUAACUGACGUUGAGGCUCGAAAGUGUGGGUAGCAAACAGGAUUAGAUACCCUGGUAGUCCACACCGUAAACGAUGAACACUAGGUGUUAGGAGGUUUCCGCCUCUUAGUGCCGAAGCUAACGCAUUAAGUGUUCCGCCUGGGGAGUACGACCGCAAGGUUGAAACUCAAAGGAAUUGACGGGGACCCGCACAAGCGGUGGAGCAUGUGGUUUAAUUCGAAGCAACGCGAAGAACCUUACCAGGUCUUGACAUCCUUUGAAGCUUUUAGAAAUAGAAGUGUUCUCUUCGGAGACAAAGUGACAGGUGGUGCAUGGUCGUCGUCAGCUCGUGUCGUGAGAUGUUGGGUUAAGUCCCGCAACGAGCGCAACCCUUAUUGUUAGUUGCCAGCAUUCAGAUGGGCACUCUAGCGAGACUGCCGGUGACAAACCGGAGGAAGGCGGGGACGACGUCAGAUCAUCAUGCCCCUUAUGACCUGGGCUACACACGUGCUACAAUGGCGUAUACAACGAGUUGCCAACCUGCGAAGGUGAGCUAAUCUCUUAAAGUACGUCUCAGUUCGGACUGCAGUCUGCAACUCGACUGCACGAAGUCGGAAUCGCUAGUAAUCGCGGAUCAGCACGCCGCGGUGAAUACGUUCCCGGGUCUUGUACACACCGCCCGUCACACCAUGGAAGUUUGUAAUGCCCAAAGCCGGUGGCCUAACCGUAAGGAGGGAACCGU